AAUCAACGCUGGCGGCGUGCCUAACACAUGCAAGUCGAACGCGAAAGUCCCGCAAGGGAUUAGUAGAGUGGCAAACGGGUGAGUAACACGUGGGUGACCUGCCUUCGAGCGGGGGAUAACGUCCCGAAAGGGACGCUAAUACCGCAUAACAUCCUGCCUUUUAAGAGGCGGUGAUCAAAGCCGGGGAUUCGCAAGAACCUGGCACUUGAAGAGGGGCCCGCGCCUGGUUAGCUAGUUGGUGGGGAAUGGCCUACCAAGGCAACGAUCAGUAUCCGGCCUGAGGAGGGCGGACGGACACACUGGGACUGAGACACGGCCCAGACUCCUACGGGAGGCAGCAGUGGGGAAUUGUUCGCAAUGGGCGCAAGCCUGACGACGCAACGCCGCGUGGAGGAUGAAG
rnacentral:rRNA from 1 species